UACAGAGGGUGCGAGCGUUAAUCGGAAUUACUGGGCGUAAAGCGCGCGUAGGCGGCUACUUAAGUCGGAUGUGAAAGCCCUUGGCUCAACUGAGGAAGUGCACCCGAAACUGAGUGGCUAGAGUACGAAAGAGGGUCGCGGAAUUCCCGGUGUAGAGGUGAAAUUCGUAGAUAUCGGGAGGAACACCGGUGGCGAAGGCGGCGACCUGGGUCGAUACUGACGCUGAUGCGCGAAAGCGUGGGGAGCAAACAGG
rnacentral:rRNA from 1 species